ACCAGCCUGUAACUCUUGGGGAGAGUGGGGCGGAGAGGGGGGACAUGCAGGAGAGAGGGAGAGAGCAAGGCAACUCGGGGCUCAAAACAGUCAAAUUCAAAUUAAAAGGUCAAGACACGAUCCAGGAAACGGAAUCUGGAAAAUAACUUGUCUUUCCGGUCGCCCCACAUUUUCCCCUGGAUGAAGCCUCGGGUUUCGAUUUUCCAAAGGGCUGAAGCCUGGCCGGGAAAGGACGGGUGCUGCGGGCGCCCUGGCGUGGAAGAGCGCGGAGGCUGGAUCGCUUCUAGAGAGGCCCCAGCCCGCGGCUGCUAGAAAAGGACUUCAGAAAGAAAUCCAAGGAAGUCCCUCAGCCAGGGGGCGAGAGAGGAGACCACAGGGGUCCAUGGACCCCGGGAACACUGGCAGAAAAUGUGUAAUCUGUGACUCGCUUGCAGAGUCAGCCAGGGGAGAUUAGAAAUGGUUUUGUGUUUUCAUUUGCAGGGGUCGCAGUGGGCUCGGCACAGGGGUUGGCCGGGGCAAGGUUAGGCUGUUUAGGCCCCAGACGAGACUUGGGACAGCCUGGGCAGCCGUCAAUCCAGGGAACCAUUUGUCCCACCUCCCACCCCGCGGGAAACGACGGAGACUUUAUGGCCACUCUGUUUGUAUUAUCUGCAUAAGUCUUUCCCCACCAGUUUGAUCGAAACUGUUCGCUUUUACGAGGACCCAACGAAAAUUCCCCGUCAUAUUUAUCAGCCGGGGAUAAAAAUUUAGUAUGGGAACUGAUAUUUCCUCAUUUAUGGGGCGAUGAAAUUAAAGACCAAAGCAAUUGAGAAUUA